rnacentral:misc_RNA from 1 species
UGGUUCUGGCAUCGAUGAAGAACGCAGCGAAAUGCGAUAAGUAAUGUGAAUUGCAGAAUUCAGUGAAUCAUCGAAUCUUUGAACGCACAUUGCGCCCAGUAGUAUUCUACUGGGCAUGCCUGUACGAGCGUCAUUUCAACCCUUAAGCCCCUGUUGCUUAGCGUUGGGAGCCUACGGCAUCGUAGCUCCCCAAAGUUAGUGGCAGAGUCGGUUCACACUCUAGACGUAGUAAUUUUCACCUCGCCUGCAGUUGGACCGGCCUCUUGCCGUAAAACACCCCAAUUUUUAAAAAAAGGUUGACCUCGGAUCAGGUAGGAAUACCCGCUGA